rnacentral:rRNA from 1 species
AUUGAACGCUGGCGGCAUGCUUUACACAUGCAAGUCGGACGGCAGCACAGAGAAGCUUGCUUCUUGGGUGGCGAGUGGCGCACGGGUGAGUAACAUAUCGGAACGUACCGAGCAGUGGGGGAUAACUAAUCGAAAGAUUAGCUAAUACCGCAUAUUUUCUGAGGAAGAAAGCAGGGGACCUUUGGGCCUUGCGCUGUUUGAGCGGCCGAUAUCUGAUUAGCUAGUUGGUGGGGUAAAGGCCUACCAAGGCGACGAUCAGUAGCGGGUCUGAGAGGAUGAUCCGCCACACUGGGACUGAGACACGGCCCAGACUCCUACGGGAGGCAGCAGUGGGGAAUUUUGGACAAUGGGCGCAAGCCUGAUCCAGCCAUGCCGCGUGUCUGAAGAAGGCCUUCGGGUUGUAAAGGACUUUUGUCAGGGAAGAAAAGGGCGGGGUUAAUACCCCUGUCUGAUGAUGGUACCUGAAGAAUAAGCACCGGCUAACUACGUG